UGCCUAGGAAGCUUUUCCUCAUCUUGCCU
rnacentral:piRNA from 1 species